rnacentral:rRNA from 1 species
CCCAGUGAGGAAUUUAACGGCUGCGGUAUAUUGACCGUGCGAAGGUAGCAUAAUCAUUUGCCUUUUAAUUAGAGGCUGGAAUGAAUGGAUAUACGAGUCUAAAGCUGUCUCAUAUUAAUAUAUAAAAAUUAGUUUUUAGGUGAAGAAACCUAAAUGUUAAUAAAAGACAAAAAGACCCUAUUGAGCUUUAUUUUAUAUUGAUAUUUUUGAUAUAUUUACUUUAUAACAUAAAUAAAUUUGGUUGGGGUAACAUAGAAAUAUUAAAUAUUUUUCUUUUAUUGUUAGAAUAAUAGUUCUUUUAAAUGAUCUGUUGGUGUAAUUAGUAGAAAAAGUUACCAUAGGGAUAACAGGCUAAUUCUUUUGGAGAGUUCAAAUUGAUAAAAGAGUUUGGCACCUCGAUGUUGGCUUAGAAUAUCCUAUAGGUGUAGCAGCUUAUAAGGGUUGGUUUGUUCAACCAUUAAAAUUCU